UAGGGAUCUUCCACAAUGGGCGAAAGCCUGAUGGAGCAACGCCGCGUGUGUGAUGAAGGGUUUCGGCUCGUAAAACACUGUUGUAAGAGAAGAAUGACAUUGAGAGUAACUGUUCAAUGUGUGACGGUAUCUUACCAGAAAGGAACGGCUAAAUACGUGCCAG
rnacentral:rRNA from 1 species